rnacentral:lncRNA from 1 species
ACAUCAGAAUUUGCAAAUUGAGUUAAUUUUUCAUCUUAAAAGUAAAGGAACUGUUGCAAUUUGCAGGGAAUGAAGACAGCAGUCUCUUCAGGGGAAAGUUCAUCCCUUCACAUGGCUGAGACAAAGAAUCUGCUAAUUAGAUCCUUGACUCCCAAAGAAGACUCCAUCUGAUUCCCAGGUUCUUGAAGACAGAAUAAAUGAGGAACAUGCCUGUGAUUGUGCUUCCAAAAUGCUGCACGAAGUUGGUAAAUGUGUCAGGAGGAACAAAGUUGGAGUCCUUACUAUCUGACUGUCCAUCAAACACCCAGGAUGGACAAGAAUAGUCCUUGCUAGCAUGUCUAAAUUGCUUCUGUUGCCAACACUGCUCUGACACUCAUCAGACCAAAGCUCAGCCAGGUUUGCUGAGGAAAAGUGAACAAGUGGAAAUGAAGUCUAUUGUCAAUGUGACCAGAGUUGUCCUCAGAGAGUAGGACAGAUAAAAUUAAAAUCAAACCUCUCUUACAAAGAAGAGGAGCCCAGAAGGCUGGAAAUUCCAGAUGAAAAAAAAGAAGGCACCAGAUACUUGGAAUGGGACAGAGCUGCCUGGGAGAGAAGUAAAAGGGUGAGGAGGCCCAAGAGACCAGACUGCAGGGAACCUUGGGAGAAAACCAUCAGGAAUGCCUCAUUUACUUUCAAGAGAAAUGUAUGUAUCACUGUAGUUGUGAUCAAUCACAUACAUUUUGGUAAAUUUUGUUUCUGAGUUCAUCUGUAUGCUUAUUUUAUGGAUUUUCAUUUGCUGUAUCCUGGAGUUUACAAUCCUAAGGACAUAUUUUGGCUAAAAAUAUUACUAGGGUGAUCUGUACUAUUAUUCUCUAAGCUGUCCCUAUGUUUGAACAGCUGAUACCAGACUUUUGUUUAUCUUCUGAUUUUGGUUCUGUUUUUCUUUCUGGAAUAGGGGCGUAGUGUGUAUUUUAGGUUUCCCUGAAAGUUGUGCUGUUCCUGCUUCAUUUUCUAAUUACUCACAUUAUCAUCUAGUGCUACUAAAACCUAGCU